CCUCAUUCUCCAUCGUUUCAUUCUGUUUCUCUGCAAGAAACUGCCAUUUUUCUUCUUUCAGUUCCUUUCUCUAUCCUUCUAUUUUCUUGAAUAUCUUGUCAAUGGCGAUAGCGUCUCCGUCCACUCCAAGCUUCUCAGUUUCCUUCUGCUGCAAACGCGCUGAGUUCAAUCCUGUAUUUCGCUGCUUCUCCGUCGCUUUUACUCAUCGGAAUCUCCCG
rnacentral:misc_RNA from 1 species